UACGGGGGGAGCAAGCGUUGUUCGGAUUUACUGGGCGUAAAGGGCGCGUAGGCGGCCGAGCGGGUCGUGGGUGAAAUCCCCCAGCUUAACUGGGGAAGUGCUUACGAUACCACUGCGGCUGGAGGAAGGCAGGGGCACUUGGAACUGUCGGUGGAGCGGUGAAAUGCGUUGAUAUCGACAGGAACGCCGGUGGCGAAAGCGGAGUGCUGGUCCUUUUCUGACGCUGAGGCGCGAAAGCCAGGGGAGCAAACGGG
rnacentral:rRNA from 1 species